UUAGGAUGUUUGUAUUUA
rnacentral:snRNA from 1 species